rnacentral:lncRNA from 1 species
AAGUACACCUUCUACAUUAUCACUCCAGGCUCCCACCAAGAAUGAUGAAUUCUGUCCUGGGCAUUGAACAUUAAGAAGAACCUGGUGACUGGAUUAUGAAAAAACUGGAGUGAAUUCUGGGGAGAGAAACCUGGAAGGCAAUAGAAAAGUCUUAUCAUGCUAAGGACAAGAGAUACAUCUCUAACCCAGGGGGGUGCAGAUAAUUUAACAAAUUUU